AUACAUGGGCAAACCGUGUGAAAACGCGGGACGCAAAACUACAGGGCCUGAUCAAUGGCAGCCAGCUGC
rnacentral:ncRNA from 1 species